rnacentral:rRNA from 1 species
AAUACGUUAAGGGACUACGUCUUAUUAAGUUCUAAAUAAUAAGCUGAUAAUGACAAUUUAUUAUUUAAAAGUCUUGACAAAAUCUUGUGCCAGCAGUCGCGGCAAUACAAGUAAGACAAGUGUUAUUCAUCUUUAUUAGGUUUAAAAUGUACCUAGAUUGCAACCAUAGCCUUAUUAGGGGACAGGGUAUGCUAGAGUUUUAUGUGAGAGGUAUAUGUUAGAGCUGCCGGUUUAGAGAUGAAAUAUGUUGACACUGGCAGAAAUGGUAACGGUAAAUACAGGCCUCUAUGUAAAAACUGACAUUGAGGGACGAAGGCCUGGGUAGCAAAUAGGAUUAGAUACCCUAGUAGUCCAGGCAGACAAUUAUGAGUGUUAUACAUCACGGUAUCGUAGUGUAUAAAUUAAAGUGUAAGCAUUCUACCUCAAGAGUAAUGCGGCAACGCAGGAACUGAAAUCAUUAGACCGUUUCUGAAACCAGUAGUGAAGUAUGUUGUUUAAUUCGAUGAUCCUCGAAUAACCUUACCACAAUUUGUAUGUAUAUAUUAGGUUUUUACAAGAUUUAUUUUGAUGCAAACUGUAUGCCAACUGUUACAACGGGCGUGUAUCUUAGUAAAUCGCAGUAUUAAUACUAUAUAACACAGGUGUUGCACGGUUGUCUUUAGUUGAUGUCGU